rnacentral:lncRNA from 1 species
UUCAUGUUUUGCCAAUGGUAGAUAUUUAGGAAGUUAAUUUUUGAGCCGGCAAUGUUUAUGUUCAAAUGGUUUCCACUAUCGCUUGUGGACGAUAUCAUGCUGGUUUUCGUACAGGUAAUCUAAACGAAAAAUACGGGCUAAAACGACCCGCAUGAGCCCGAUGGAGAUCAAGAACAGACAAGGAAAAACCCAUGUUCUCGGCAAUAUUUUUAAGAACUAGCCUCUGUGACAACCUAUGUAGCACGUAAACUUCAAUUUCUUAACAUUUUCGGAUACGUUUUGCUUCCC